AAGGGGACAAGGUGUGGGGACACGUGUGGAGAAGGAGACAAGGCCUGGGAGCACGUAUGCAAGGGGACGAGGCCUGGGGACGAGGCCUGGGGACAUGUGUGUGGACAGGGACAGGGCCUGGGGACACAUAUUUGAAAGGGGACAAGGUGUGGGGACACAUGUGCAAGGGGACAGGGCCUGGGGACACGUGUGUGCAAGGGGACAAGGUGUGGGGACACGUGUGGAGAAGGAGACAAGGCCUGGGAACACGUAUGCAGGGGGGACAGGGUCUGGGGACACGUGUGCGGAAGGAGACAGGGCCUGGAAACGUGUGUGGGAGGAAAUAGGGUCUGGAACAUGUGUGUGCAAGGGGACAAGGUGUGGGGACGUGUGGAGAAAGGGAUAAGGCCUGAGGACACGUGUGGAGGAGGGGAUAAGGCCUGGGGACACAUGUGUGGAAGGGGACAAGACUUGGGGACAUGUGUGGAAGGGGCCAUGGCCUGGGAACACAUGUGCAAGGGGACAAGGCUUGGGGACAUGUAUGGAAGGGGACAGGGCCUGGGGACACAUUUGGAAGGGGACAGGGCCUGGAGACAUAUGUGGAAGGGGACAAGGAGUGGGGACACGUGUGGGGACUGUGGGUGGAAAAGGGGCCAUGGCCUGGGGACACAUGUGUGGAAGGGGACAAGGUGUGGGGACGUGUGGAAGAGGGGACAGGACGUGGAGAGCACAAGUGGAAGGAGGGCAAGGCCUGCAGUCAGGCUGCAGUUGUUGCUGGGUGGCAGAUGUGCAGAAAAGCACCAUAUUUGGGACGCCGGUGGGAGCAGGAGACGUGGUUCGUCGCGUAGAGGUUGGGCUGAGGUGAAACAGGACCUGGGUCUGAGUCCAAAGGAAGCUAACCCAGAAUGAAGACAGUUAACUCAAAAGUUUUGAGGCAACAAGUAUACUAAACGUUUUUGAUACCCAUACAGCACAGGCUUUUUCUUAGGCCUUUUUCCGUGUAAUUUUGAUGCUACUGAAUAAUUUUCAUCAACGAGUCUCCCAGAAAUUGUUGGAGGUAUGCUUUGUGGGGAAGAAAGCGGCCCUUUCCAGUGAAAUCUGUACCCUCUCAAGUCAAUCUGUAUGUUCUCACUGCAGAAAGAUUUGAGAAAUGUUAAGUUUGUAUUAUGUACGUUAAAUGACAGAUAGCUCUUUUUUAUUGUUUGCAUUAAAGAAGCUGUUAGGAACCCCAGUUGGAAUCAAAGUGUUGCAAGCAUAGAUGGCAAAAUGAAGGCUGAGUUUUCAGUCUUAACUCUGCAUUUCCUGAUUUCCCCAUCAUAAUAUUGCAUUAACAAUAGUCUUCCUGCAUUUAGGGUAAUAAAAGUCUUGUAGGCAAGUGAUUGCUGACA
rnacentral:lncRNA from 1 species